GACGAACGCUGGCGGCGUGCUUAACACAUGCAAGUCGAACGGUGAAGCGCCUUCCUUUUUGGUGGGCGUGGAUGAGUGGCGAACGGGUGAGUAACACGUGAGUAACCUGCCCCCUUCUUCUGGAUAACCGCAUGAAAGUGUGGCUAAUACGGGAUAUUCUGGGUCUGUCGCAUGAUGGGUCUGGGAAAGAUAUUGUUUCGGUGGGGGAUGGGCUCGCGGCCUAUCAGCUUGUUGGUGGGGUGAUGGCCUACCAAGGCGGUGACGGGUAGCCGGCCUGAGAGGGUGGACGGUCACACUGGGACUGAGACACGGCCCAGACUCCUACGGGAGGCAGCAGUGGGGAAUAUUGCACAAUGGGCGAAAGCCUGAUGCAGCGACGCCGCGUGAGGGAUGGAGGCCUUCGGGUUGUGAACCUCUUUCGCCAGUGAAGCAGGCCUGCCUCGUUUGUGGGUGGGUUGACGGUAGCUGGAGAAGAAGCGCCGGCUAACUACGUG
rnacentral:rRNA from 1 species